ACCGCUGGCCUAGUGGUUAGGAUUUUGCCCUCUCAGUGCCGUGGCCCCGGGUUCGAGUCCCGGUCACGGAG